rnacentral:lncRNA from 1 species
ACAAAUGGGAGGUUGCAGAUUCGAACUGCCAACCUUCAGGUCAGUAGUUCAGCAGCACAAGGGUUUAACCCAUUGUGCCAUCACAAUGCCAAAAAGAGUUUGGAUUAGCCCACAGAAUAUCAAAUUUAGUGGCCAAGGAUGGGAUAACCCUUGAUCUGGUGUUGCUAGAAAUAAGCAGGAAUUGUUUAUAAUUAGGAUAAUUUAAACAAGCCCAAAACAACUCUACGUCUCAUGGAGAAGGGAAAGGGCACAUCCGUAACCAAGUUCCAGAGACAGGUGAGGGAUUGGGAUGGACUCUUAGAUUACACUGAAAUAGGUAUGACAAGUAGGUUGAAGCCCCGGCCUCUCUGCUUUUCAGGGCAAAAAAGAGGAAUCUCAGAGUGAGAACACUACCUUAAAAUAUGUGUGUGGGAACGUGUAUGUAUGUAUUGAUGUGUGUGCAUUUCUCAUCUAUAGGUAUACCUGUAGAUGUUUUGGUGGGAAUUGCUUUAAAAGAAAACAUGGUACCAGUGUCACCAUUUACAUGGAAAGAAUAGAAACUGGGUCCUACAAAAAGAAGAGCAUUUCAACAUGCUUCAGCAAAUGUUUGAAUCCAAAGCUAACAAUACGUACAUGUGAAAUGAAACAACCAAGUCAUACCCAACACCUGUGGCGAGACCUGCUGCCCUGGCUGGUCCCUGGGUCCCAAGACGAAUAAGUGCACCAAAGCUAUCUGUACCCCGCGAUGUCGGAAUGGGGGGCAAUGUAAAGCCCCCCAGCAGUGCACCUGCCGCCCAGGCUUUACAGGAUCCCACUGCGAAUUCACCGUUCCCACCACAAUGUUGACCCCGCACUCCUCCAAGCCUCCUCUGAACUCCAUGGUCGUGCGCUGGAAACCGCUGACGUGAGUUGGGAUGAAUGGGAGUGGACAUGGAUCAGACCUUUUCUCUCUUGCUGUCCCCACCUGCAAACCUCUCAACCCAGGGCCAGCUGGGAGAAUCAUUUAAUUCAGAGGUGGGGAUUGCACGGUUCACAAGAGACCCCAAUACUGUGCGU